UUAGUUUGUUAAAGAACCUUAUGUGAGAAUGAUAACUAUUUUUCUGUUAAUAGGAAGAUAAUUAAGCUGCAUUAACAUCUAUUAAUUGUUUACCUCAUAUGAUUUAUGUGAACACUUUAUUAUAUGACUAGGAUUAGCGAAUGUGAAACUAGAUUUAGUAAGAAAAAUAGGUAAAUUCAUGUGUGAGCUUGUGUGAUGACCAUCAACAAGAGGUUAACUAAAGGACCAAAUUAGUUAACCAUUACAAGUCUAAAUUAACCCGAAUAAAUAACCUAGUGAAAUCAAUUAAAUUAGACAACUGGCCACUGUUUGAGUUACUUUGUUCUCUAAGGAUUAGCGCAGCGAAUGUGAAUCUAAUCACUUGAAUCGGUAGCCAAUAGAAGAAUUAAUCCAUUACACUAUUACCAUAAUAUCAACCACAGGAUCAAUUGAGUUGAACUAAAUAGAAGUUCCCUUCGUUAUUAAAUUUAGUUAAAUCUUUGCUUAUCUGGUUUUUAGUUAAGUAGUCUAAGUAUUAGUUGGUAAGUUUCUAGUCUUGCAAAACUAGAGAAACCCCCUUUCUAUUACUUGUUUUAUUAAGAUAAUAUUAGCAUUUAUUUUAAUUGUUUACCGUUCUCUGUGUUCGAUACCCUACUUGCUUGAACUAUAUUACUAAUCGAUAGGUACACUGCCUUUCGUGUGUUUAUUUUGUGUCUAAGUUAGUAGGAUUAAAACUAGUUCGUUUCACACACAUCAAGUUUUUGGCGCCGUUGCCGGGGAACGGUUCUAAAUAGUUAAUUUUAUUUGCUAAUUGUUAUCAUAUAUUUGUAUUUUGAAUAUUUAGUUUAAUUUUAAUUUUUAUUUAUUUUUUUAUGUAUUUUCCAAAUCUCGAUGCUUUUGAUGCUUUUCUUGAGGAAGUAGUACAGGAAAUUGAGCAAAGAGAUGAGGAGUAUGACUCAGAUGAAGAAUUGAAGAAUUGAANAAUUUGAUAGAUGGUUAGAUAACAUCUUGUCUAACGAUCAAGAACAAUAUGAGUCACAAGAGCUAAAGUUACAAGGUGAAGAAUUUAAUCCAGAAAGAGAUUUUGAGGAGCUGGAAAGGUUGCUAGCAAAGAGGUCGGAUGAAGAACAAAAACAAAUUGAAUUGCAGGAACCAACCCGUGGUUUGACCAUUACCAUGACAUGGCCCCCUGUAUUUUCGGAUUGUGUUUUGAAGCAUGGGGUGACGAUCCCAACUUUGGAGAAAGUUCUGAAUCGCGAUCCAUUUAUGAUUAGUAUCCAACCGGUUCCAACCCUUGUCAAUAUUCUUGGGUUUUAUGAAUUCAAGAUCGUUUGGCCAAUUUUUGAUGCAAAGAGCCAAAUUUUACAAUUUGGUCCAAGGAAAAUAUUCAAUGCAACGGAUGGAUUGGCAUUGAGUUUAUUGGAAGUUUAUUAAGUUGGGAGUCCAGCUAACGACUCGCGCAAAAAGAAGCGCUUGCGGGAGGCAACCCGUCAUUAGAGUUUGCAUUUCUUUUUCUUUUUUAAACUUCUAGUUUGUUAGGGCAAUUUAGGAUUUUAAUUUUAAUGUUUCUUUUCGUUUUUCUAUUACUUGUGUGUUGUUUUGAUAUUUUCAGUGUGAAGCUUAGAAUUGCAUGUGAGGGUCUGGAGUCAAGGCUAAACGAAGCGAGAAAUCGAGUCUAGGCGAGAGAGGAAACGAAGUUUUGAGUCAAGCUAUGAGUCCAAUUGAUAGAAGGGUUAUAUAGUGUUUAUUACCUAAAGAAAAAUUAGGGAAAAUAUUAGUUUAUAUAACCCCCAUACGUCAGAAACAGACUUGGGCAGAAUAAAAUUUUUGUCACACAGCGGUUUACUCGCCGAGUGCAUCUUAUGGACUCGACGAGUCCAUGUGAAAUUUAGCGACUUUUCUGCCAGUCAAGCUACAACUCGGCGAGUCUACAUACUUACUCGACGAGUCGCUCAUUCUUCUUACUUUUGAGCUGAAGAUUUGAUGACAUUUGAUAUGGGUAUUGGUUCUAUUCUUUGAAGAUCAUUUUCCAAGCAUUUCCAACAGUUUUUCCCUUAUAUUUGGAGCUUUUAUAAAGACUGUACCACACGAGAUUUGACACCCGACGCAUGGAUGAGCUGAUCCCAUGUCUAAAGUCAAUUGACGAUGGAGUUGAAGAGAAGAGGUAUCAACCUCGCCACUACUAUACCGGGGGAGUUUGUUCCAAUUCUCUCUUUAUUUUUAUUGUUCUUUAUCAUGCAUGAUAUGAAAUGGGGACAUUGCAUAAAUUAAGUGUAGGGUAGGGGUUGGUUGGUUACACUAGUUAAAUUUUAAAAUUUUUCAUAAAAUUUGCUAGAAUUAAUUUAGAAAAUUUUGGUAAAGCAAUUAGGGAUCAUGCUAGUAUUAUAUUUGAUGAUUCUAUGAAGACCCAAAUGUUUAGUUGAGCCAAUAUACGUUAUAAUGCAUUUGUGGCCUCCCUUAUUCUAGUGAAAUCAUGGGACAAAAACACAACCUCACUUAAUUUGAGGAACGCAACAUGUUUAGCAUCGUGUACCCGAAAUGUAUCCAAGAAAAUAUUUAUCUUUAAUCAAUAAAGGUUGAAGUUGAGCGUCCUUGCUUAAGCAUGUAGGUUUUGAGUGAAAAAAAAGUGAGUUACAUGUAAAAAAAAAAAGAGAGAGAAUUACAAGAAAAGUUGUAAGAAUUUUGGAGCAAUCAAAGUGAAGAUCAAAAGAUCAAAUUUUUGAAGAAAUUCAAAAGUUGAAGAUACCCAAAAAUUAAAGAUCAAAUGUCAAAGAAGUGAAGAAUUCCAAAAGAGCUCCAUAGUGGUAUCAUAAAUUGUAAUUGUCUAGAUUAUGUAUGCUUGGGUUGCUCAACCAAAAAUACCUUGAGGUUAGGAGGUUUUCUGCGGAUGGAUUCGGAGGGAUGCAUAAAAUGAGCAUUGUUCGAAAAAGUGGGCGAAUGUUUAUGAGGAUUGUGAGUAUUUAGAGUAUCGGGGGUUCCUCAGGAAAAAGUUUAGACACAAAUGCAUGUGUUGCGGUCUUGGCAUUAUCGUUGGGUUCGAUUGGGAUUAUCUUAUGUGGUAUUAGUAUGUUAAAAUUCAGUUUUGCUUGGGGGCAAGCAAAAGUCAAGUGUGGGGUAUUUUGAUAUGGACAUAUUUAGUCAUAAGAAUCAUGCAUGAUCUUAAUACUUUAUGUUAAUUUUAUCUCAAAUAAUGAACGAAAGGUGCUUAAUUAGCUUAAAUAUUUCAUUUUCAACAACAAAGACAUGCUCGGAUGGAAAAGGAAGCGGAACUAGCGAUUGGAGGCUUGGAUCUUGGAUUUUGAAGAAAGAAGGAUGUUGCUGGACAGCUUGACCCCUCGUCAGUGUUUUGGCCAUAUCUCAUGAACCAUAACUCCGAUUGACGAGAUUCAAUAUGUUCUGAAAGCUAUACACGAUUGCGGACGACUUUCGUGUUUUGAGAAAAUGAUGAUAUCAAAUGGACUCGACGAGUAGGUCAUCAACUCGACGAGUUGGUCAGAAAUUUCGCGAUUCUUGACUUUGCCUUGCCGCACACGGGAUUUUAAGUGAUUGACUCGCCGAGUAGGUCACUGGACUCGCCGAGUAGCCCCUGUUUUCAGAAUAUAUAUAUAGAAACGCUUCUCAUUCGAACCCUAACUAAUGGGGGAAGUUUAGGACGAUUUUUGGAGGCCAGAAGAGUUCUUAGAAGCUGUGGUUUGCGAGAUUUCAACUUAGAUAUCAAUUUGGAAGAAGAUCAAAGGCAAUAACACACUAAUUUUAUCUUAAUCUUUUGCAUAAACCAUGUUUCAAUCAUUAGAUUAUGUUUUCACAUUGUUAUUUGCUGUAGAUAUGAGCUAAAAACUCAUAACUUUUGUUUAGGAUAGAUGAUUUUGUGAUCAUGGUUUGAUUUUAUGGUAGGAUUGAUUUAAUAUUGGUGACUUUGUUGAUUUUAGUUUGUUAAAGAACCUUAUGUGUGAAUGAUAACUAUUUUUCUGUUAAUAGGAAGAUAAUUAAGCUGCAUUAACAUCUAUUAAUUGUUUACCUCAUAUGAUUUAUGUGAACACUUAUUAUAUGACUAGGGUUAGCGAAUGUGAAACUAGAUUUAGUAAGAAAAAUAGGUAAAUUCAUGUGUGAGCUUGUGUGAUGACCAUCAACAAGAGGUUAACUAAAGGACCAAAUUAGUUAACCAUUACAAGUCUAAAUUAACCCGAAUAAAUAACCUAGUGAAAUCAAUUAAAUUAGACAACUGGCCACUGUUUGAGUUACUUUGUUCUCUAAGGAUUAGUGCAGCGAAUGUGAAUCUAAUCACUUGAAUCGGUAGCCAAUAGAAGAAUUAAUCCAUUACACUAUUACCAUAAUAUCAACCACAGGAUCAAUUGAGUUGAACGAAAUAGAAGUUCCCUUCG
rnacentral:lncRNA from 1 species